ensembl:lncRNA novel transcript
GCAGAGCUAAUGAUACACAUAUUUUGGAAUCAUCAGCAAACAGUGGUAUUUAAAGCCAUAGAAGUGGAUGGGGUUAUUUAGGGAGUGGGAGAGAGAGAGGAAAGGAGAGACUUUUCAAAACCUCCAUCCUGGGGCACACCAACGUUUAGAGAUUUGGAAGAGGAGAGCUGUCAGAGGACACUGAGAAGUGGCAGUGACGUUGGAAGAAAAUAAGAAUGCUGUGUUUCUGGAGUCAAGUUAAAACUCCAUUUUAAAGAUGGAGUGGUCACCUGUAUCAGAUGUCCCCAGGAGGCCAAGGAAGAAUGCUCCAAAUCAUAAUAAAAUCCAUCCAUUACUUCAGACAGAUGAAAACAGUUCCUUCUAAAAAGAGGCUAAUGUUUUUAAAAGACAGUAAGAGAAGAAUGUCAGCUCCCCAUGGCUGCAGUAGAAAGUGCUGGAUGAGAGGAGCAUCUCCAGAGCAUGGAAGACAAAGCAGCUUUAUCCUCAACUUUUCCACCUCAAUUUCCAUUUUCCUCCAAGGCAAAACUCCCACUCCUGGCAGAUUAAAUGAAAUGAAGACACUGAGCUCUGCAAGUACACUGCUUUUUGAAUCCCAGAGGCUCUCGGACCUGAGUGAAAGUCCAGCAACUAUGUGGAGCAAAGCCAUGGGGGCAGUGAAAUUGGAUGAGAUGUUGAAGUUUUGACAUCAGACUGGUGAACUUGCUUGUCAAAUGCCUCUUUAAAAAGAAAGUGAAGAUAACUGCAAGUCAGCUGGAAGUGCUGCCAAGAUAUGACCUCCAGGAAGGCCCAGAAGACAAGUGAUAUUGUGUGGACUGCUACAGCGCAAUGUCUAACUGAUGCAAAAUGAAGAAUCAAUUUGAAAUUAAGAUGAGUAAAGGCAUCCAGCACUUACAGCAAAAAA